AUAUGCUUGUCCCGAAGCUUAAGCCAUGCAUGUCUCCGAAUAACUAGUAGCUUGAUCCCGAAUCUGCGAACGGCUCCGUAUAUCUGUUGUAACCCGCCUCCGCCCAGGACCCCUCGGCAUAACCACGGUAAUUCUGUGGCUAAUACGUGUAACACCGGCCCCCCGCCCCUGGCGGGGGUCAGCCGGACUCGCCGCGCACCCGGGUUCACCCGCGUGAGAGCUGGCGAGCGUGCCUUACCGGGGGAGGUAAGCCCCUGGAGCGUGAGACGGGCUUCAGACCUAUCAACUAGAUGGCCAGGGAUAGCCUGGCCACGGUUAUUACGGGUACAGAGGAUCAGGGUUCGGUCCUGGAGAGGUAGCCUGAGAGAUCGCUACUACUUCUAAGGAAGGCAGCAGGCGCGCAACGUUCCCAAUGGGGAUACCCUGAGGACGUGAAGGGACAUACCAAUGCCCGGCCCUUAAAGCCGGGCAAUUGGAAUGGGGGACCUCUAAACCCCACACCGAGUAACA
rnacentral:rRNA from 1 species